CCUGCCCCUUGAGGCAUUUCAGGUAUGGCUGUUGUAUUACAUAUUUCAGUAGGUGGCAGAGAGGAGAGAGGCUAUGUCUACGUUCCGUGUUCGGACCUAUGAAUAUCUGAAUGAUAUAGUAGCCUAACAUU